ensembl:lncRNA
CUAAACUCGAUGAUGAGAGCAGUCCCCCAAAGAGGAGAACAUUUCUCAUCACGUAUUUGAAGAGAGCAGCCAUGGAAGCAGAUCUGACUCAACCCAGCAAGGUGGUGUUCAGGGGCAGAGAGGCAUCGUGAGAAGCAACCUGCGCUCCGCAUCCUUUCCAUUCGUUGUUUCUGGCACUAGAGGGCAGAAGAACGGAGCCGGGAUGCUCACAGCGAGACCCGGCUCCUUCCUGCCGCUGUCUCAGGGCGAGAAACCUAUCUGGAAAGGCUUUUCCCUCUGCCCGUCUCCAACGCCCAUCAAGGGCUCCAUGCCUCAUUAGCAUUAUUAAUGUUUAAUAGUGAAAUGUCGCAUCUCGGAUGCAGUACUAUACAGGGAGCAAGUCUACGUGCUCGCCUGCAGCAGCA